rnacentral:rRNA from 1 species
ACGGAAGGCAGCAGUGAGGAAUAUUGGUCAAUGGACGCAAGUCUGAACCAGCCAUGCCGCGUGCAGGAAUAAGGCCCUAUGGGUCGUAAACUGCUUUUGUGGUGGAGCAAUAAGUCGUACGUGUACGGCGAUGAGAGUACAUCACGAAUAAGCAUCGGCUAACUCCGUGCCAGCAGCCGCGGUAAUACGGAGGAUGCAAGCGUUAUCCGGAUUUAUUGGGUUUAAAGGGUGCGUAGGCUGUGGUCCAAGUCAGGGGUGAAAGCCCGGAGCUCAACUCCGGAACUGCCUUUGAUACUGGAUUGCUGGAAUACGGAUGCCGUGGGAGGAAUGAGUAGUGUAGCGGUGAAAUGCAUAGAUAUUACUCAGAACACCGAUUGCGAAGGCAUCUCACGAAUCCGUCAUUGACGCUGAGGCACGAAAGCGUGGGGAUCAAACAUGAUUAGAUACCCUGGUA